CUGUUGACACAGUAAUCGAGAUUCUACUAUUUCUAUUACUAUAUGAUGGGAUCGAAUGGAGAUCACUGUCAAUAUCAGAAUGCAAAUUUUGUGGGCGACUCUGGAAUGGCUAACCGUUACAGAAGAAACGAGAGCUUUUUGGAUCAUGCAACGGAGUUUUGGAAGGCUGUAAUGGAGAUGAGUGUGGAAUUUGGGAAAGGGUGUAGGGAUAUUCUGUCGCAGAGUCUAGGAAGAGAAGAUACGUAUCUUGGAGGAAGAUUCAGGAGAAUUAAAGGGCCUUUGGCAAAAUGUAUUCUACAGGAAGCAACAUCUCUGAUCCAUUCUUGGCCUAACUUGCAGGUGCAGCCAUGUUUGCUCCGAUGGUUAAUCCCUAUGAUUCAAUGAUGACAAAGGAAGAGUAACGAGGAACCUGGGAGAAGUGGACGUGAAAACGUAAACUGAUGUACUUUCUGGCUCGGAGGUUUCCUAGAUUUCUUGUUUAUUUCUACCACCAAACCUUCCUAUCUGGAAAGCAUGGUCGGAUUGACAAGUGGCUGUCAUUGUCCCUAGGAAAAAGGGAUAGAGCUAUGAUAGAGGACCCAAUCUAUGAAGAAUUCUGGCAAAGGGAUGUGGAAGAAUCAGUUCGGCAGGGAAAUGCAAAACCCUUUGUGGAGGAAGCUGUACUGCAGGUGUCGAAUUGGGGUUUCAGACUCGCAGAUCUCAAACUGCAGAAGAAGCAGUGAGGGAGAGGUAUCCUGAAUUGGCUUAAGUAUAUGCUCAAUGGAGAUUUGGAGGAGUAUAUAGGUUUCCUUGGCCCAAUACACAUAUGGCAGGGGAUGGAUGAUAGGGUGGUUCCUCCUUUGAUGACUGAUUUUGUACACCGGAUUCUACCAGGGGCUGCUGUGCAUAAGCUCCCAUACGAGGGCCAUUUCACUUAUUUCUAUUUUUGUGAUGAAUGCCACAGACAAAUAUUCACUACACUUUUCGGAACCCCGCAAGGUCCAAUUAACAAUACCAUAGAAACCAUAGAAGCAGAUCAAACUCUUACCGAAGUUGAUGGAGAGGAACUGCAAGAGGUGAACCUUGCUGAUUCUACCACAGACUGAAGUGAUCUCUUUUCUUUUGUGUGAUAGAAAUUAUGUUGUAUAUACCACAGGUCUGCUCCCUUACUCCUAUAGCAGAAAUAUACACACGUGGGUAGGUGGGUAUGCUGACACUUCUGCUGGAGAUGAUAUCCAAAUUAGAAAUCAAUAAAUCUAUAUGUAUUUGUAUUCAUUUGAUACACAAAUGAUUUG